rnacentral:rRNA from 1 species
UACGGAGGGUGCGAGCGUUAAUCGGAAUUACUGGGCGUAAAGCGCGCGUAGGUGGCUUGAUAAGUCGGAUGUGAAAGCCCCGGGCUCAACCUGGGAACUGCAUUCGAUACUGUCUGGCUAGAGUGUGAUAGAGGAAAGCGGAAUUCCCGGUGUAGCGGUGAAAUGCGUAGAUAUCGGGAGGAACAUCAGUGGCGAAGGCGGCUUUCUGGAUUAACACUGACGCUGAGGCGCGAAAGCGUGGGUAGCAAACAGG